GACCUGAUGCAGCCAUGCCGCGUGUGUGAAGAAGGCCUUCGGGUUGUAAAGCACUUUCAGUUGUGAGGAAAAGUUAGUAGUUAAUACCUGCUAGCCGUGACGUUAACAACAGAAGAAGCACCGGCUAACUCCGUGCCAGCAGCCGCGGUAAUACGGAGGGUGCGAGCGUUAAUCGGAAUUACUGGGCGUAAAGCGCACGCAGGCGGUUUGUUAAGCUAGAUGUGAAAGCCCCGGGCUCAACCUGGGAUGGUCAUUUAGAACUGGCAGACUAGAGUCUUGGAGAGGGGAGUGGAAUUCCAGGUGUAGCGGUGAAAUGCGUAGAUAUCUGGAGGAACAUCAGUGGCGAAGGCGACUCCCUGGCCAAAGACUGACGCUCAUGUGCGAAAGUGUGGGUAGCGAACAGGAUUAGAUACCCUGGUAGUCCACACCGUAAACGCUGUCUACUAGCUGUUUGUGACUUUAAGUCGUGAGUAGCGAAGCUAACGCGCUAAGUAGACCGCCUGGGGAGUACGGCCGCAAGGUUAAAACUCAAAUG
rnacentral:rRNA from 1 species